rfam:Capsicum annuum cultivar Zunla-1 chromosome 1, whole genome shotgun sequence
GGCUUACACUUGAUCUCUGAACUUCAGGUAGGUCCUGUUGAAAAUUUACUGAACUGAUGCU